CUAGGAUCCUAAUUUAGACUAUCGUUUG
rnacentral:tRNA from 1 species